rnacentral:rRNA from 1 species
GACGAACGCUGGCGGCGUGCUUAACACAUGCAAGUCGAACGGAAAGGCCCUGCUUUUGUGGGGUGCUCGAGUGGCGAACGGGUGAGUAACACGUGAGUAACCUGCCCUUGACUUUGGGAUAACUUCAGGAAACUGGGGCUAAUACCGGAAAGGAGCUCCUGCUGCAUGGUGGGGGUUGGAACGUUUCGGCGGUUGGGGAUGGACUCGCGGCUUAUCAGCUUGUUGGUGGGGUAGUGGCUUACCAAGGCUUUGACGGGUAGCCGGCCUGAGAGGGUGACCGGCCACAUUGGGACUGAGAUACGGCCCAGACUCCUACGGGAGGCAGCAGUGGGGAAUAUUGCACAAUGGGCGGAAGCCUGAUGCAGCAACGCCGCGUGCGGGAUGACGGCCUUCGGGUUGUAAACCGCUUUCGCCUGUGACGAAGCGUGAGUGACGGUAAUGGGUAAAGAAGCACCGGCUAACUACGUG